CCCAGGAGGGCACGUAACAGUCGAGCGGAUGACGGGAGCUUGCUCCUUGAUUAGCGGCGGACGGGUGAGUAAUGCCUAGGAAUCUGCCUGGUAGUGGGGGACAACGUUUCGAAAGGAACGCUAAUACCGCAUACGUCCUACGGGAGAAAGCAGGGGACCUUCGGGCCUUGCGCUAUCAGAUGAGCCUAGGUCGGAUUAGCUAGUUGGUGAGGUAAUGGCUCACCAAGGCGACGAUCCGUAACUGGUCUGAGAGGAUGAUCAGUCACACUGGAACUGAGACACGGUCCAGACUCCUACGGGAGGCAGCAGUGGGGAAUAUUGGACAAUGGGCGAAAGCCUGAUCCAGCCAUGCCGCGUGUGUGAAGAAGGUCUUCGGAUUGUAAAGCACUUUAAGUUGGGAGGAAGGGCAGUAAGUUAAUACCUUGCUGUUUUGACGUUACCGACAGAAUAAGCACCGGCUAACUCUGUGCCAGCAGCCGCGGUAAUACAGAGGGUGCAAGCGUUAAUCGGAAUUACUGGGCGUAAAGCGCGCGUAGGUGGUUCGUUAAGUUGGAUGUGAAAGCCCCGGGCUCAACCUGGGAACUGCAUCCAAAACUGGCGAGCUAGAGUACGGUAGAGGGUGGUGGAAUUUCCUGUGUAGCGGUGAAAUGCGUAGAUAUAGGAAGGAACACCAGUGGCGAAGGCGACCACCUGGACUGAUACUGACACUGAGGUGCGAAAGCGUGGGGAGCAAACAGGAUUAGAUACC
rnacentral:rRNA from 1 species